CUUCAUGGGCCUGCUGUGGGCAGAUGAAGUGGAUGUGCGUGUCGAAGCCUCCAGCUGUUACAAUCUUGUGCUCGCCAGCAAUAACAUCGGUGCAAGCGCCGACUAUCAGGUCUGGAUCCACGCCGUCCAUGACGUCUGGGUUGCCUGCUUUGCCAAUGCCCACGAUCAUGCCGUCUUUGAUUCCAAUAUCGGCCUUGUAGAUACCAGACCAGUCGACGAUCAAGGCAUUUGUGAUGACGGUGUCCAGAGACUCGGUAUCCGAUCGGCCUCCGGCCUGUCCCAUACCCUCUCGUAG
rnacentral:sRNA from 1 species